AAGGACAGAGAAACAGGCGUCCAGAUCCCCAAGCCCCAUUGAAGAGACCGCCCAGGGACCACUGAAGGCCAAGUUCAAUGAAGUAAGUGCAUCCUUGCAGCUAAAGGUGCCAGCCGCCAGCCAGGACUG
ensembl:misc_RNA